AAGACAUGUGCUUCUGGCAGUGACAUCACAGGCCAGCCUACUUACACUGAAUAAAACCAGAUGGAGGAGAAAACUCUGUCCUUUUGCCUGUAACUGACUGAACCUAAGAUGUAGUACCAGCUCUGACUUAACCCCAGCCAAAGGGCUGGGGCCUUGUAAGUAAAAUGAACAUUUAGCAAUUGUAAUAGCCAUUUGUGUAACAUUUAGUAACCUUUUGUAAGUAAUUUGUUGUAGUUUUGUAUUGUAUCAUAAUUGUAGUAAAUUGACAUUCUGCUAGCAUCUGUUUAUUUGUUAUAGUUAUAUUAAAUAUACAUUUAAUUAGUUUUGUAUUGUAUCAUAAUUGUAGUAAAUUGACAUUCUGCUAGCAUCUGUUUAUUUGUUAUAGUUAUAUUAAAUAUACAUUUAAUAUUACAACGUUUUGUGUAUUUUCUAUACACAUAUUCGACCAUAAUACCAUGAAUUAUAAAAAUAUUAAUGUUCCGUAUUGCUUAAUUAUUAUGUAUUAAGAGAUUAAUAUUCAUAUUUAGGUCAUGACCACAACAGUGCACAAUGUAAAUAAUCCACACUUUUUGUAUAAGAGACUGCUGUCCUCUACCUUUUAUCCUAGAGGACCGUGUUGCUUUGCACAUGAAAGGUCACAGCACAUUUAAAUUGGCUCACUUAUUUGCUUGAUUUGCAUGAGCAAGCAUGGCCUUCUUAAGUACUUUUAUGGCCCUGAACAAGGCCGAUAUCUGUACUCUGAUCUUACAGGACUCCUCCACCAUUAAAUUGGUGCUCAAUAUAUUACAUUUUGAGUUAGGAUUGGUUAUGCUUUUAUAAAUUGGUGUGGAAUGUCUAGGAUCCUAACUGGACCAACAAUCUUUCAAAAACCUUAUACUUUUUUGUUUAAUAUGCAUAUUUCUAGCCACUUGGAUGGAACAAAAUGGUGGUGCCCAGAUAUUCAGAUCUGACUUGAGGACAGAAAGAUAAUAAAUAUAUUUAAAGGCAAGUAUAAUCACAUAGAUACAGUGGGCAUAAGGAAAGGAGAACUGAAAAAAAAAAAAAGAUAAACAUGGCAGUAUUCUUUCCACAUUCUAUGUUAAUAGUAACAAAGAGAAACGCAUCUUCAGCUGUGGAAUUCUCAAUUCCACCUAUAGGUAAAGAGUGUUUCUCAGAGGAAGGCCGCAACUAAGAAAAGAGACUGAGUCAUAAAAUAUUAAGGGGCAGCUCAGAACACGUUCCAUCCCUUACACAAUAGUUAUAUCAACGCUAGACAAUCCCAGACUGUUGGGUUGGUGCUCUUGAAGGCUAGGCUAUUGGGUAGGUGCUUUAUGAAGAUUUUUUUUUUUUUUAUGUUAUGCAAUGUGGGAGUUAUACGGUGAGAUGUUCAUAUACACUUACUGUAUAAAAAAUAUACACUUAUUUUACAAGUAACUUUCUACUAGGUGUACGUUAAUUAAUAGGAACAACAAAACAAUUUGCACUUGGGUGAUCUGUAUAAUAGGAUGUUAUUGGGUUGAUUUAUCCCUUUGGGUAAAAGUGCAAUCAUGAUUACAUUCUUAGAUUCUCAGGGGUUUGAUCAUCUGGAAAUUGAUUAAAAUACAUAGGGGCAUAGCCAGGUAGAACGAAAAUGCUUAUCUGCAAGAAAGUCAGUUUCCUUGCCUGCAGCGUUUACAAAAUGGGAACAUCUUUGAUAGGCAAACUUUGCGACAUUGGGUAUUUACAUAUAAUUUAGUGUUGCUGCUGAAUGCCAAAAAAUAACUCGAGGCUAUGGCAUUUAAUUAAACCGUGUGAGAUGCUUAUAACUUUCUUAAUUACUUGUUCAAUCAAUUAUUGCUCAUCUAAUAUAAAAAGUUACUUAAUUAAAUACUGAACUAAGAAAAAGGAAAAAUAUAUACCACUGUGGUUUGAUGUAGGACACUGGUAGAUUUUUUAUUUUUUAUUUUUGUAUUUACUUUUUGAUAAACUGCUACAUGAAGAAUUGGACAAAAACGAUUUCACUGUUGAAAGUGUUUUCCUAAUUCUAGUAUAUUAAUUAAUUUUGUGAAUUACAUACAUGGCUAUUUUUAUUAACUUUUUCCCAGUCACAGUUAUGAGUUGGAACUAGGGUUAGUAAGUACCAUGGACGGGUUAUUCAUACAAGAUAAAGUCACAUAAAUAAAAAGCAUCUUCUUACCCGAAUUAUAAGAUGGCAAGGCACCAUCAAUAUAUUCUCAACUCAAUAGUUAACUUAAUGAGUUUAUGGACAAGCAGAAAAAUAACUAAAAGUUAGCUAUUAGUUGUGCUUAGCUUUUUUUUUUUUUUUUUUAAUUCUUUGUCAUGACAGUGUAAGCAUUCAAUAUCAUAAAUGUAAUAGCAUAGUCAGGUAAGCCGCUCUAGAUAUGUCUGUACAAGGUACGGAAUGGAUCUGUAGACCUAGUCAUGAACCAGAGUUUUCUACUUUUAUAACCAGGGAAAGAACUUGGUAGAAGUGACAUAAAAAAGGAAGGAGGUGCGGGGUAACAAAAUUGUGAAAAACAGCAUUUCUGGCAUGGGAAACUUAAGAUACAGCAUUUCCCCAACAUUGUGACAAAGUAUCUCAAACUUUGUCGUUCAUUUUUGCUAUAACCACUGACAAAUGUUUAAGCCAUGUAGCAGCUAGAACCCUCUGGGCUGCAAGGGUAAUACUAUUCAACAGUUUUUGUUGAACUGUGGUGAGCCCCGGAAUAGGAUGGAAAAGCAGAAAGGUUCAUUUGUUGAUAUUAACGGAUCUACCAAAGGUAUUACAAAACAACCCCUUGUUCUCUUUUCAGUAAAAGAUGGUCUUAGGGCACAUCCACAACAUAGGAAUGUGGGAUUUAGCCAAAGUUGCAACACUAUAGCAAUGACAAAAAAUAAAAUAGAGAAUGAGCCUUAUCUGGUGAAACGCGUGCACCAGGUACUCACAUUUGCUUUCAUGAGUUAAAGGGACAGUCAAGACCCAUAAAACACUUCCCUUUGUGUGACCAGUGUGUAUACUUUUUUCAUUUUACAAACAGUGCAGAUUUCAAUAGAAAUUGGCACUUUUAGAAAUUAACCUGGCUACACCCCCCCGGCUGUGAAUCACAUAACAAGUUACCGUAUAUACUCGAGUAUAAGCCGACCCGAAUAUAAGCCGAGGCCCAUAAUUUUACCCCAAAAAACUGGGAAAACGUAUUGACUCGAGUAUAAGACUAGGGUGGGAAAUGCAGCAGCUACUGGUAAAUUUCUAAAUAAAAUUAGAUCCUAAAAAAAUUAUAUUAAUUGAAUAUUUAUUUGCAGUGUGUGUAUGAGUGCAGUGUGUAUGAGUGCGCAGUGUGUGUAUGAGUGCAGUGUGUGUUUGUGUUGCAGAGCCUUGGUGGGGGGUGGGCAUUUUUAUAAAAAAAAAAACAUUAAUAUUUUAAUUUUUUUUGUUAUAUUAUUAUUUUGUUAUAUUAUUUUUUUAUUAUUUAUAUUAUUAUUUAUAUGUAUAUAUUAUUAUUUUAUUAUAUUAUUAUUUUUUUAUUAUUUUUUUAUUAUUAUUUAUAUUUAUAUUAUUAAUUUAUUUAUUUUUUGUCCCCCCUCCCUGCUUGAUACAUGGCAGGGAGGGGGGCUCUCCUUCCCUGGUGGUCCAGUGGCAUUGGCAGUUCAGUGGGGGGAGGAGGGGGGCUGGCAGAGCUGUUACUUACCUCUCCUGCAGCUCCUGUCAGCUCUCUCCUCCUCCGCGCCGGUCCGUGCAGCUCUUCUGUCAGCUCACACUGUAAGUCUCGCGAGAGCCGCACUAUGACCCCGCGGCUCUCGCGAGACUUACACUGGGAGCUGACCGAGGUGCUGACCGGACCGGCGCGGAGGAGGAGAGAGCUGACAGGAGCUGCAGGAGAGGUAAGUAACAGCUCUGCCAGCCCCCAGUCUGUAUUAUGGCAAUGUAAAUUAAUGUAAAUUGCCAUAAUACAGACAGUGACUCGAGUAUAAGCCGAGUUGGGGUUUUUCAGCACAAAAAAUGUGCCGAAAAACUCGGCUUAUACUCGAGUAUAUACGGUAUGUUACUUCCUGGUUUGGUUAGCUCAGUGGAGCUAAAGUCAAGAGGCAACAAUUGCCCAAAGCACAUGCCUUGCAAAGAUUUAUCAUUGAGCUGUAUUGGGGAGUCUGUUAUUGGACCGCCACAGAAAGUCUGAGUGGGGUUAGAAAGAGAGGACUUGCAAAGGUUUUAGACUGUCAGGAUUACCACAGAAAGAGAGCUUCCAGCUGAAGUAGAGAUGGGGAGUGGAGCAUGGUGAACCCCAUGUAAGAGGUCAAACAGCUUUAAAAUGGUUUUACUACUUACAGUGUGGGGGGCAUGUUUGUGUACUACAUUACUCAUCAUUUAUCAUUUACUCCAUUUGAAUGCCUUACCCCCCUUUAGUGUAUAUCUUCAUUUUAAUUGUCUUACCAUUUUUUGCUCCAUUGGUGUCUCUUGUCCCCUUUUUGUGUCUUACUUCUCUUCUGUAUCUUUUACCCACAUUGUGACUCUAACCGCUCUUGUGUCACUUACUCCUUCCCCUGUGUCUCUUACUCUUUCCCUUGUGUCUCUUUAGACCUACUUGUCUCUUUCCCUCCCCCUUGUGUCUUUUCCAUGCGAAAGAAUGCAGGGUGAGAAUUUUUAUGCAGACAUUCUGUGAACACGUGUGUUUUUUAUAUUUACUUUCACAGCAUAACUCACUCCAUUAAUACUUCAAUAACUUUUUCUAGGGAGAGUAAUAGUGGAACUGUUAGCUUGAAGGUAAGCGUUUCUCUUUAAUACACAGUGCUCCAGAGAGCCGCCUUCAUAAGAUAGGGUCGCCUAGACUGUACAUCCAAGUUGUGGCUUGGACAUAAAAUUUUAAAAUGAUAGAAGAUUUUUCCCUGGAAAAUAGGGGAGGGAGAGCGUGGCUGAUGCCCAGCGUUGGGGGGUGAUCCCCAGGUAGAUACAUGGUUGCAAAUGGGCACCAGGAGAUAAAAAGGGGGGAAGGGAGGAGGGGCCUUACCAGUCAGCACAGACAAGUUGAGGGAUCGUGACUUUCCCACCCUCCUUCCCAGUAGUAGAUUUGAUUGUGUUCUGUUUCUGGUGUCGGUGUCUUUGUGUGUUCUUUUGUCACAGCUUGCGGUUCUUCCUGGCCAGCGGAGAUACAAGGGAUGAAAACGCCAAGGCAGCUUGGGGAGUCGCAGUCUGCCGGGAGCUGAUGGCGGGAAGCAGGCUGCUCUGAACUCUUGGAGAAUGGUGUAGAGCUGUCUGUUGGAGAACACCCCAACAGCUGACAGAGGAAUUUGCUGGCUUGAUGUUAAUGGUUAAAUAAAGCUGUGGCUGUUGCUCUU
rnacentral:lncRNA from 1 species